rnacentral:rRNA from 1 species
GACGAACGCUGGCGGCGUGCUUAACACAUGCAAGUCGAACGGAAAGGCCCUGCUUUUGUGGGGUGCUCGAGUGGCGAACGGGUGAGUAACACGUGAGUAACCUGCCCUUGACUUUGGGAUAACUUCAGGAAACUGGGGCUAAUACCGGAUAGGAGCUCCUGCUGCAUGGUGGGGGUUGGAAAGUUUCGGCGGUUGGGGAUGGACUCGCGGCUUAUCAGCUUGUUGGUGGGGUAGUGGCUUACCAAGGCUUUGACGAGUAGCCGGCCUGAGAGGGUGACCGGCCACGUAGGGGCUGCGAGAGAGCCCAGGAUCAUAUGGGAGGCAAAUAUGAGGACUAUUGUAACAAGGAAGGAAGCCUGAAGCAGCAAGGCCACGUGCGAGAUGACGGCCUUCAGGUUGAAAAUCGCUCACACCUGUGACGAAGCGAGAGUGCCGAUGAUGGGUAAAGAAACACCGGCUACCUACGUG